rnacentral:rRNA from 1 species
GAUGAACGCUGGCGGCGUGCCUAAUACAUGCAAGUCGAGCGAACGGACGAGAAGCUUGCUUCUCUGAUGUUAGCGGCGGACGGGUGAGUAACACGUGGAUAACCUACCUAUAAGACUGGGAUAACUUCGGGAAACCGGAGCUAAUACCGGAUAAUAUUUUGAACCGCAUGGUUCAAAAGUGAAAGACGGUCUUGCUGUCACUUAUAGAUGGAUCCGCGCUGCAAUAGCUAGUUGGUAAGGUAACGGCUUACCAAGGCAACGAUGCAUAGCCGACCUGAGAGGGUGAUCGGCCACACUGGAACUGAGACACGGUCCAGACUCCUACGGGAGGCAGCAGUAGGGAAUCUUCCGCAAUGGGCGAAAGCCUGACGGAGCAACGCCGCGUGAGUGAUGAAGGUCUUCGGAUCGUAAAACUCUGUUAUUAGGGAAGAACAUAUGUGUAAGUAACUGUGCACAUCUUGACGGUACCUAAUCAGAAAGCCACGGCUAACUACGUGCCAGCAGCCGCGGUAAUACGUAGGUGGCAAGCGUUAUCCGGAAUUAUUGGGCGUAAAGCGCGCGUAGGCGGUUUUUUAAGUCUGAUGUGAAGCCCACGGCUCAACCGUGGAGGGUCAUUGGAAACUGGAAAACUUGAGUGCAGAAGAGGAAAGUGGAAUUCCAUGUGUAGCGGUGAAAUGCGCAGAGAUAUGGAGGAACACCAGUGGCGAAGGCGACUUUCUGGUCUGUAACUGACGCUGAUGUGCGAAAGCGUGGGGAUCAAACAGGAUUAGAUACCCUGGUAGUCCACGCCGUAAACGAUGAGUGCUAAGUGUUAGGGGGUUUCCGCCCCUUAGUGCUGCAGCUAACGCAUUAAGCACUCCGCCUGGGGAGUACGACCGCAAGGUUGAAACUCAAAGGAAUUGACGGGGACCCGCACAAGCGGUGGAGCAUGUGGUUUAAUUCGAAGCAACGCGAAGAACCUUACCAAAUCUUGACAUCCUUUGACAACUCUAGAGAUAGAGCUUUCCCCUUCGGGGGACAAAGUGACAGGUGGUGCAUGGUUGUCGUCAGCUCGUGUCGUGAGAUGUUGGGUUAAGUCCCGCAACGAGCGCAACCCUUAAGCUUAGUUGCCAUCAUUAAGUUGGGCACUCUAAGUUGACUGCCGGUGACAAACCGGAGGAAGGUGGGGAUGACGUCAAAUCAUCAUGCCCCUUAUGAUUUGGGCUACACACGUGCUACAAUGGACAAUACAAAGGGCAGCGAAACCGCGAGGUCAAGCAAAUCCCAUAAAGUUGUUCUCAGUUCGGAUUGUAGUCUGCAACUCGACUACAUGAAGCUGGAAUCGCUAGUAAUCGUAGAUCAGCAUGCUACGGUGAAUACGUUCCCGGGUCU